rnacentral:rRNA from 1 species
AUUGAACGCUGGCGGCAGGCCUAACACAUGCAAGUCGAGCGAGCGGCGGGCGGGUGAGUAAUGUAUGGGGACUGCCCGAUAGAGGGGGAUAACUACUGGAAACGGUAGCUAAUACCGCAUACUAUCGGAUAACCCAUAUUGGAUUAGCUAGUAGGUGAGGUAAUGGCUCACCUAGGCGACGCGCCCUAUCUGGUCUGAGAGGAUGAUCAGCCACACUGGGACUGAGACACGGCCCAGACUCCUACGGAGGCAGCAGUGGGGAAUAUUGCACAAGGGGAGCAAGCCUGAUGCAGCCAUGCCGCGUGUAUGAAGAAGGCCCUAGGGUUGUAAAGUACUUUCAGUCGGGAGGCGUUACCGACAGAAGAAGCACCGGCUAACUCCGUGCCAGCCGCCGCGGUAAUAC